CUUUAAAAUUCCAAAGCAAAGACACAGCCCGAGGAAUGUUUUCAUUUCUGUUUUCGGGACCGGGGUCCACUUGAGGUCGUGGGGGUCUGAGCUCGUACCUGUUGCGCGUACCGAUUCGUUUCGGUCAAUAACGUUGGAUCAACCGGCACAAAAUAAUUCUCGUCCUCAUUCUCAUACUCAAAUCCCUUGAAUUCUAUGACAAUAUCACUGCCAUCGCUAUCAAAAUCCUCCAUGUUCAUUGCUACUUCUCGGUCGCCAGCUAGACGCGUCGCUAAAAACAAACAUAGAAUAUCGCGUGGCUAUAUGAUUGAUUGACGUGAUUUUCAGCCAACCAAAGUUCGUUUUGGUGGUCUCCUGAUCUUUACCAAAGCCUUAAGACCCACCCCAUGUGUAUUUUUAACCAACCAGAGUGAGUUAUAUGCUGCAUUCGUCAUGAAAACAGCACGUGUACAAAAUGCUGCGCUACGCAGCAACCGGCAGGAAAGCCUAUGUUGCGCUAUGCAGCAACCGGCAGGAGGGGCUAUGCUGCGCUACGCAGCAUCCGGCGCCAAUGGGUUAA